CGUGCAGGCGGCUCGCUAAGUCUGAUGUGAAAGCCCCGGGCUCAACCCGGGAAGUGCAUUGGAAACUGGCGAACUUGAGUAUGGGAGAGGGAAGUGGAAUUCCGAGUGUAGGGGUGAAAUCCGUAGAUAUUCGGAGGAACACCAGUGGCGAAGGCGGCUUCCUGGACCAAUACUGACGCUGAGACGCGAAAGCGUGGGGAGCAAACAG
rnacentral:rRNA from 1 species